rnacentral:tRNA from 1 species
UCAAAAUGCAAAUUUGAAGAAGCACUGAGAAGGUGCCGGGGCUUCUCCCGUUU